GGGUUGUGAGGUUAAGCGACUAAGCGUACACGGUGGAUGCCUUGGCAGUCAGAGGCGAUGAAGGGCGUGCUAAUCUGCGAUAAGCGCCGGUAAGGUGAUAUGAACCGUUAUAACCGGCGAUACCCGAAUGGGGAAACCCAGUGUGACUCGUCACACUAUCAUUAACUGAAUCCAUAGGUUAAUGAGGCGAACCGGGGGAACUGAAACAUCUAAGUACCCCGAGGAAAAGAAAUCAACCGAGAUUCCCCCAGUAGCGGCGAGCGAACGGGGAGGAGCCCAGAGCCUGAAUCAGCAUGUGUGUUAGUGGAAGCGUCUGGAAAGGCGCGCGAUACAGGGUGACAGCCCCGUACACAAAAGCGCAUGUGCUGUGAGCUCGAUGAGUAGGGCGGGACACGUGGUAUCCUGUCUGAAUAUGGGGGGACCAUCCUCCAAGGCUAAAUACUCCUGACUGACCGAUAGUGAACCAGUACCGUGAGGGAAAGGCGAAAAGAACCCCGGCGAGGGGAGUGAAAAAGAACCUGAAACCGUGUACGUACAAGCAGUGGGAGCCCCACCACUAAGCCAGUGGUGAACUCCACAUCCGCAUCCUUUGCUGAGGAUACGGUUAACGGAGCGAAAGCGACGUUCAACCGCAAAACAAGCAGAGGGGGCUUAGUGGUGGGGUGACUGCGUACCUUUUGUAUAAUGGGUCAGCGACUUAUAUUCUGUAGCAAGGUUAACCGAAUAGGGGAGCCGGAGGGAAACCGAGUCUUAAUUGGGCGUUAAGUUGCAGGGUAUAGACCCGAAACCCGGUGAUCUAGCCAUGGGCAGGUUGAAGGUUGGGUAACACUAACUGGAGGACCGAACCGACUAAUGUUGAAAAAUUAGCGGAUGACCUGUGGCUGGGGGUGAAAGGCCAAUCAAACCGGGAGAUAGCUGGUUCUCCCCGAAAGCUAUUUAGGUAGCGCCUCGUGAAUUCAUCUCCGGGGGUAGAGCACUGUUUCGGCUAGGGGGCCAUCCCGGCUUACCAACCCGAUGCAAACUGCGAAUACCGGAGAAUGUUAUCACGGGAGACACACGGCGGGUGCUAACGUCCGUCGUGAAGAGGGAAACAACCCAGACCGCCAGCUAAGGUCCCAAAGUCAUGGUUAAGUGGGAAACGAUGUGGGAAGGCCCAGACAGCCAGGAUGUUGGCUUAGAAGCAGCCAUCAUUUAAAGAAAGCGUAAUAGCUCACUGGUCGAGUCGGCCUGCGCGGAAGAUGUAACGGGGCUAAACCAUGCACCGAAGCUGCGGCAGCGACGCUGAUGCGUUGUUGGGUAGGGGAGCGUUCUGUAAGCCUGCGAAGGUGACCUGUGAGGGUUGCUGGAGGUAUCAGAAGUGCGAAUGCUGACAUAAGUAACGAUAAAGCGGGUGAAAAGCCCGCUCGCCGGAAGACCAAGGGUUCCUGUCCAACGUUAAUCGGGGCAGGGUGAGUCGACCCCUAAGGCGAGGCCGAAAGGCGUAGUCGAUGGGAAACGGGUUAAUAUUCCCGUACUUGGUGUUACUGCGAAGGGGGGACGGAGAAGGCUAUGUUGGCCGGGCGACGGUUGUCCCGGUUUAAGCGUGUAGGUGUGUGUUCCAGGUAAAUCCGGUUCACUUUAACACUGAGGCGUGACGACGAGGCACUACGGUGCUGAAGCAACAAAUGCCCUGCUUCCAGGAAAAGCCUCUAAGCAUCAGGUAACACGAAAUCGUACCCCAAACCGACACAGGUGGUCAGGUAGAGAAUACCAAGGCGCUUGAGAGAACUCGGGUGAAGGAACUAGGCAAAAUGGUGCCGUAACUUCGGGAGAAGGCACGCUGACACGUAGGUGAAGUGAUUUACUCAUGGAGCUGAAGUCAGUCGAAGAUACCAGCUGGCUGCAACUGUUUAUUAAAAACACAGCACUGUGCAAACACGAAAGUGGACGUAUACGGUGUGACGCCUGCCCGGUGCCGGAAGGUUAAUUGAUGGGGUCAGCGCAAGCGAAGCUCCUGAUCGAAGCCCCGGUAAACGGCGGCCGUAACUAUAACGGUCCUAAGGUAGCGAAAUUCCUUGUCGGGUAAGUUCCGACCUGCACGAAUGGCGUAAUGAUGGCCAGGCUGUCUCCACCCGAGACUCAGUGAAAUUGAACUCGCUGUGAAGAUGCAGUGUACCCGCGGCAAGACGGAAAGACCCCGUGAACCUUUACUAUAGCUUGACACUGAACAUUGAGCCUUGAUGUGUAGGAUAGGUGGGAGGCUUUGAAGUGUGGACGCCAGUCUGCAUGGAGCCGACCUUGAAAUACCACCCUUUAAUGUUUGAUGUUCUAACGUGGACCCGUAAUCCGGGUUGCGGACAGUGUCUGGUGGGUAGUUUGACUGGGGCGGUCUCCUCCUAAAGAGUAACGGAGGAGCACGAAGGUUGGCUAAUCCUGGUCGGACAUCAGGAGGUUAGUGCAAUGGCAUAAGCCAGCUUGACUGCGAGCGUGACGGCGCGAGCAGGUGCGAAAGCAGGUCAUAGUGAUCCGGUGGUUCUGAAUGGAAGGGCCAUCGCUCAACGGAUAAAAGGUACUCCGGGGAUAACAGGCUGAUACCGCCCAAGAGUUCAUAUCGACGGCGGUGUUUGGCACCUCGAUGUCGGCUCAUCACAUCCUGGGGCUGAAGUAGGUCCCAAGGGUAUGGCUGUUCGCCAUUUAAAGUGGUACGCGAGCUGGGUUUAGAACGUCGUGAGACAGUUCGGUCCCUAUCUGCCGUGGGCGCUGGAGAACUGAGGGGGGCUGCUCCUAGUACGAGAGGACCGGAGUGGACGCAUCACUGGUGUUCGGGUUGUCAUGCCAAUGGCACUGCCCGGUAGCUAAAUGCGGAAGAGAUAAGUGCUGAAAGCAUCUAAGCACGAAACUUGCCCCGAGAUGAGUUCUCCCUGAGACUUUAGGUCUCCUGAAGGAACGUUGAAGACGACGACGUUGAUAGGCCGGGUGUGUAAGCGCAGCGAUGCGUUGAGCUAACCGGUACUAAUGAACCGUGAGGCUUAACCUUACAACGCCGAAG
rnacentral:rRNA from 1 species